AGGGAAUCUUCCACAAUGGGCGCAAGCCUGAUGGAGCAACGCCGCGUGUGUGAUGAAGGCUUUCGGGUCGUAAAGCACUGUUGUAUGGGAAGAACAGCUAGAAUAGGGAAUGAUUUUAGUGUGACGGUACCAUACCAGAAAGGGACGGCUAAAUACGUGCCAGCAGCCGCGGUAAUACGUAUGUCCCGAGCGUUAUCCGGAUUUAUUGGGCGUAAAGCGAGCGCAGACGGUUGUUUAAGUCUGAUGUGAAAGCCCGGAGCUCAACUCCGGAAAGGCAUUGGAAACUGGACAACUUGAGUGCAGUAGAGGUAAGUGGAACUCCAUGUGUAGCGGUGGAAUGCGUAGAUAUAUGGAAGAACACCAGCGGCGAAGGCGGCUUACUGGACUGUAACUGACGUUGAGGCUCGAAAGUGUGGGUAGCAAACAGGAUUAGAUACCCUGGUAGUCCACACCGUAAACGAUGAACACUAGGUGUUAGGAGGUUUCCGCCUCUUAGUGCCGAAGCUAACGCAUUAAGUGUUCCGCCUGGGGAGUACGACCGCAAGGUUGAAACUCAAAGGAAUUGACGGGGACCCGCACAAGCGGUGGAGCAUGUGGUUUAAUUCGAAGCAACGCGAAGAACCUUACCAGGUCUUGACAUCCUUUGAAGCUUUUAGAGAUAGAAGUGUUCUCUUCGGAGACAAAGUGACAGGUGGUGCAUGGUCGUCGUCAGCUCGUGUCGUGAGAUGUUGGGUUAAGUCCCGCAACGAGCGCACCCUUAUUGUUAGUUGCCAGCAUUCAGAUGGGCACUCUAGCGAGACUGCCGGUGACA
rnacentral:rRNA from 1 species